rnacentral:tRNA from 1 species
CUCAGUGGUUUGAGUGUGGUGCUGACAACACCGCAACAACAAUGACUGACACCGAGGUCGUGGGUUCGAUUCCCACUCAGUCCC